UACGAAGGGGCUAGCGUUGCUCGGAAUCACUGGGCGUAAAGGGUGCGUAGGCGGGUCUUUAAGUCAGGGGUGAAAUCCUGGAGCUCAACUCCAGAACUGCCUUUGAUACUGAAGAUCUUGAGUUCGGGAGAGGUGAGUGGAACUGCGAGUGUAGAGGUGAAAUUCGUAGAUAUUCGCAAGAACACCAGUGGCGAAGGCGGCUCACUGGCCCGAUACUGACGCUGAGGCACGAAAGCGUGGGGAGCAAAC
rnacentral:rRNA from 1 species